ensembl:lncRNA
GGGAGAGUGACGACCUUUUCCAGGCUGUCUUUUCACAUCCACAGCAGAAAUUCAGCAUUGUAUCUGAAAUGCAGUCUCUUCGUAGGACUGUUAUUUUUACGAUGCAAAGGCUGCUUGAACGACAGUGAAGAAGGGAAAGAGAACAGAGAAGGAAAACCUCAAGAAGGAUGGAAAUGAUCUGAGUAGCUGUGUUUCAGGGAAACGGUAUCUGAGUGAGAUCUGGUGCUGGGUGAGUCCUCUGCUGAGCCCAGGAUGUGCGCGAACUGCUGGGUAGUUCUGCUCAGGUGGCUGCUUUUUUAAUUUGUCUUCUUAAUCCUCAGGAAAAGGGUAAGCAUUCCUUUGGCUCCUGAGGGCAAACCAGAAAGGGAUCAGGACAUCCAAAAUGACAGGAAGACAUGGUGCUGCGUGGAGGCAGUAACUUGCACACACUUUGCUUUACACAGUUCUUCCCCACGAGGACGACCAGUUGUGGGACCACAGAAGUCUCCCUGGUGCGGUGCUGUUGCUCUGCCUUGCCUCGGGCACUGUGGAAGGGGGAAGCAAAUUCUGAAAUGCACAGGAAAAUUAUAUAAAAUGGAGAAGAGAUGGGCACAGAAAGAAGUUGGCAAGAAGGAGAGGAUGGUGGUGUUUUUGCUAACAAGAUGAGUUUUCAAGGCUGUCUGCUGAGUGGCAUCAAAGAAGAGUGUGGAAUUUUGAAAAUGUCCCUGUGACCCAGAGAACGUGUUCCUGCCACAUCAGUGCAUUUGUGGCACUGUCAGUGCUUGCAGAAAUCUCAGUGAGGCUGCAUCCUUCUACUUAUUUCAAAAUAACCCAUCAGAAAUAAUUUGGUGCCUUGAAAUCUUUUACUCACAGGAAAAUGUAUUCUGCAAAGCACUCACUGUUACUUCUUUUCUCACUGUUUCAAGCAUGAACAGAAUUAUCUGCCCCCUUUGUACAUAGUUCUUAACAAAAAAACAAAUCCUGUUCUCAGACUUGCAGACCAGUUUUAGUGGCAGUUCUCAUGAUGGUCAGACAGGGAACACUCAUGGCACUGUGCUCACUGCUGUCAGCCACUGUUUGCCAUCCCCAGUUCUGGAGGUCUCCAAGGAGAGGGGAGCAGCAGAGCCACGUCCCCGUUGCCUGGCUCAGCGCAGCAGCUCUCAUGAGCUUGCGCCUCCUGCCCAGUGUUGGCUUUGCCAAGCCUGACCCUGCUGCCUCUCUGGAUCUGCUCCUUGGGAUUGUACCUUGGGUUUAGGAGUUGUUAGAAACAGCUGAGAACUCCUGGCUUGGUAAUGCAUCUUCUGGUUUGAGUGUGUUCACUGGGCCGCACAUCCUAGCUGCUAGGUAUGAAAAAGAGCAUCAGACAUCAAGCAAAAUUUAUCCAGAUUUCACUUGUAUUUCCAUCUCACAUCUGAUCCAGGAAGUUUCCUUGCAUUCUUGGGCAAAGUAUGGCUGAAGUCCUGAAUAAGAUCAAUUGGCUCAAGGGACCUUACUGGCAACAAAAUUAAAAAGGGAUUUCCUUCCCUGAUUUUGAGGACCACAGAAAGGAUGAGCCUAGAAACAGAAAUUACAAGCUACAAAUCUUAGGGCCAGCCUCAAGAGAACGUCAGGUACAUUAACACAGCUUGCUAGAGAUGAAAAUCCAGCUUGAUUGCAUCCAAAUAGGGACUCAAAAUCUUGCUGACAGACCAUACCUUUAGAAGCCCCAAGUACCAGCAGCAGUGCUCUGACAACUCAGUGCACCAGUUGGAGCUGUGCAGCUCCUCUCCUUGCAAUGUAUGUCCAGAUCCUGCAGGUCGUUCUGUAUGCUCCUCAUUGUGUCAUAGGAGUAAUUAUUUCGUGUUGGUUUCUGCUGCCAUCCAUGGUAUAUAUGGUUUUCCUUUUCCUUAUGGAAAAAGAAUUCCUUCUGAGGAAGUGUGUCUUAACUUCUAAUGUAUGCAAAAUUUCAGAUGCAUAGCACUGUGAAUAGUGCCAGUCUGCUCAUCUUACUCCUGCUAACAUUAGUAAAUCUAUUCAUGCAGGUAAACAAGAUCAUUUUAAGUGGGUCAAAUAUUUUUUGUCGAAAAGAAAAUGAAGAUAUUCAGAGGCCUCUCAGAUUGACAUGAGGUCUCGAGCGAUCAGUCCCUCCCUCGCUGCUUGCAGGUCACACAGGAGGGCAGUGGGGGAUACUGAUGAGUGCAGUGUUCCUUCAAGGCUCAGUUGGAAAACUUCCUCUCUGAAAACUGAGGGAACUCAUGCUUGACGAAAUGCCCUAGCAGCCAGGGAAGCUCAGCCAAACUGCUGCAUCUGCUGUCUGGAGAACACAAGAAGAACACGUGUGUGUUUGGCAAGCUGAAAGGCUUUUAAUAAUUAUGAAUCAUUCCUCCAGCUGCAUAUCAGUGUUUCUUUCCACUGGACAGGAACAGCGAUAGCUCUGAACUAUGCAGCAAUGAGAAAGGUACAAAGAUUCGAGUACCAAACGGACAGUGCUGCCUGAAGGUCCUAUUUAUACAGACAGUUCUACUACACAGAGGCUGCUGGAACUCUAGUACUUCUAUAGCACAGUGGGAACAAGGGGUCCCAUCAUCUGUCACUGUGCUCAUUUUCCUUUCGUCCCGUGCCUGCCCUGCGCACAGCCAUUCCUCCCCUAUGCAGCUCAGACCAAAAUGAAAUCUUGACUGCUUCUUUCCUCCUACUGCAAUGGCUCGGUGCUCCUGCUGGACAGCUACAGAUUGCUAACUGUUCCUGGCACCGGAUGCCUCCGCAUGGACGUGAAGCCAAGAAGCCAAGAGAGAAACCGUAUUGCCAAGUCCAAGCACUCUGAAAUUGCAGUAACCUUUUCCCUACACAAAAAGUGGGUUAUUAUUUGUAUUUAUCCUUUGUUGCUUCGUGUUUUCAGCAAACAUAUUUCAAACUCUUCUCUAUGGUCAUGAUUUUAUUCUCGAUGGAAGUUGAAAUUCUUGCAUACCCAUACAAUUCCUGCACCUGAUGCUUUAAGAAAAAACACCGAUGACUGCAGGAGUUGGCAGCAGAGAGGGAAGAGGAAGAGGAGACGGAGGAGGAAAUAAUCUCAUUCUCUCACCUGCAGGAGCGGAAUCUGAUCCCCUGCUGAUGUCUGGUGAUAGUGCAUCGGAGAGGGAAAGGAAAUGGGAGAACCAGAGGAGAGAAGAGGUAGCCCAUAGGAAGACAUAAAGAGAAGGAAAUACUUUGGGUUAGUGGAGAAGGUCAUCAGGCUACACAGCCUUCAGACAUCUGCCCAAAUCAGUUUGAAACUCCCGACCACACGGUUACCUCACCGCUGAGUGUUUUUUGCGUUCCAAAAUGAGAGGUGGGGAAGGGUGUCCUUCCUGCUCCUGUUUAUCUGAGUCACAGGGAUAAAGCCUAAUUUUGUCUAUAUCCAACUGUCAGCAGUGCGGGAAACAACACAUGUGAAGGCAGAAAAGGAAACGUGGUGUAAGGCCAAUUGGAAGUGAGGGCUGUACCUGCCUUUUGUGCUCUGCUGCCUUUUCAUCUUACAGAACACAACGUGAGCUGUUACUCUAGUAAUCCAUGAAGUACAUUGUGCAUGCGGAGCCACGCAAGGAUACUAAUUGAAGGAUUAAAACCGAGUGUAGACAAAUGUUAAUGAAGUGAAGGAACUUACUGGACUUUUUACGUUCUGCCUGUGUGUACAAAGCAGCGUUAGCUCUGUGCAGUGCAAUGCUAAGACUAUCUACGCAUUUGAGCUGUGACAUCAGUUUUCUAUUUCUGCGUUAUUAUCACCAGUGAAAGUGGAAACACUGCAUAAAGUGUGGGUCCUCAUUCUGUCUGCAGUUCACUCUUGAACAGUGUGCCACUUCUUUUUGUUUUUUCAGUAGACUGGAGAGGAUGAAGUUUAUGUUUCUGUUUUCAAGUGUUGCUUCCUCCACGAGCAGGAAAUCCUCCCUCCCUCCAUAUGUUUUUAAAAUAGCUGACAGUGCCCCCAAUUAAUUGCGUAUCAAACUGAACUUCUUUUUCCUGGCCUACGUGACUGUCCUCCCCUCCUCAACAGCCAGCCUGUUUUCAUGCGCACGGUAGGAAUAUUAAAAACAUCCCCUACCUAGCAAAACAAGAACUCCUCUGGGAAGGUGCAUGUAGAUGAAAUG